GUGGGGAAUCUUGCGCAAUGGGCGAAAGCCUGACGCAGCCAUGCCGCGUGAAUGAUGAAGGUCUUAGGAUUGUAAAAUUCUUUCACCGGGGACGAUAAUGACGGUACCCGGAGAAGAAGCUCCGGCUAACUUCGUGCCAGCAGCCGCGGUAAUACGAAGGGGGCUAGCGUUGCUCGGAAUUACUGGGCGUAAAGGGCGCGUAGGCGGACAGCUUAGUCAGAGGUGAAAGCCCAGGGCUCAACCUUGGAAUUGCCUUUGAUACUGGCUGUCUUGAGUUUGGGAGAGGUGAGAGGAACUCCGAGUGUAGAGGUUAAAUUCGUAGAUAUUCGGAAGAACACCAGUGGCGAAGGCGACUCACUGGCCCAAUACUGACGCUGAGGCGCGAAAGCGUGGGGAGCAAACAGGAUUAGAAACCCUGGUAGUCC
rnacentral:rRNA from 1 species